AAAGUCGUAACAAGGUUUCCGUAGGUGAACCUGCGGAAGGAUCAUUACAGAGUUCAUGCCCUCACGGGUAGAUCUCCCACCCUUGAAUACUUAUACCUUUGUUGCUUUGGCGGGCCGCCUCGGCUACCGGCUCUAGCUGGUAAGUGCUCGCCAAAGGACCCCAAAACUCUAAAUAUUAGUGUCGUCUGAGUACUAUGUAAUAGUUAAAACUUUCAACAACGGAUCUCUUGGUUCUG
rnacentral:misc_RNA from 1 species